GAUUUUGCUCUUCAUGUUUUAUUAGAAGACUUAUACUUGCAUUUUGGGUGAGUGUUCAAAUGCUUUUAUGAGAUCUGAAUUUGAAGGAAGAACUUUCACACUACCAAGGUGUUUGAUGAAAUGCCCCCUUAAGGAUUCUAUUAGGAAAUCAUCUCUCAUUUAAUAAUUCCAAGGAUGCAUUAUUCACAUUCACUAGAAAGAACUAUUCAAUAAUUAUAAUAUGCAUUAUAUAUCAUUUUUGUUAAAUAAAUAUUUAUUUGAAAUGCGUUUAGCUAGAUAUUUGAUGUUCAAGCUGUAUCAAGUGGUGAUACUCCUACAACAAAAUGUAACACCUUUUUAUAACUUGCAUGAGUAAAAAUGUAUGUAUAGUCUAACUUUGUUGUGUAUAUGUGUACAGGUUAGGAGGAUCGAUUGACAUGAAAAAGUCUACCUAUAUGUUUUCACUUAUUUCAACUAAGUGAGUUUAAAACAAGGAGGAAAGUAGGGUCUUCCGUGAUGCACUUGACCAAUGAAAGAUGUUUGUGGAGAUUCAAGGCCUAUUUUGACAGGUAUCUUAUUCUAAAAGUUAAUCACACAUCUUCUGCAGUACAAUCACAUUCUCUUCGUUAUUUAUUUUAUUAGUUUUUGAAUUAUAAUGGAGAUGUUAGUCAUGACUUUUUGAGUAAAACUAUUGUUAUUUUUUCCAGUCGUGUACAUUAAUGCACAAACAUAAAGUUUUAGCUGAAACUUUCUGUGAUGAUUCAUAUAUUGUCAGGUUUAGUUUGAUGCAAGAGACAUAAUCCUAUAAUGAUGAAAAAAAUGAAAUUUUCAGUUUACCGUGUUUAUAGACAUCAUAAAACACAUGAAUUUUGAAAAAAGACAGAGAUUCAAAUAGAUUGAAUUCUGCAUAUAUAUAGUGAAAAUUCAUUUCUCAUCAAUGGAAACCCUCAAGAUCUCUUAAAAUCUUUUAGAGUGCUAAGAUGGAGUUUUGUCCCCAUAUUUGUUUGUUUCGAUGAUAGAGACUCUCAACAUAAAGCUAAAAAAAGGUGAGAAUUUGGAUUGGGUAAAGAGGUUGCAGGUUGAUAGAAUGGGAGGUGCACCAUGUACAAUUUCUCAUAUUUUAUAUGCAAAUGUCAUUUUGUUGAUAUGUUCAUGGAGGAAUUCUCCUAACUUUUGGGAUAGUAACUGGUUCAAGGGUGAAUCUGGCUAAGAGGGUGUUUGGAUUGCUUUUACAAGAUGACUUCUAAGCUAAAAGCUAAAAGUCAUAAGUUGGUUAUACCCAACUUUUAGAUUUAAUUUUUUUUUUUUGCCUUUUCUGGCAAUCAAACACUACAAAAAAUGAGCUUAAAUUCAAAAGCACUUAAAAUGAGCAAAUUAAAUAGGAGUAUUAUGUACAACACCAUUGUAUAGAGGAUUUACCUCAGAGAUUUUAUAUAGGAAUUAGAUGAAAGGUUAAAGAGUUACCUAUAUUUGGGACUUUCUUGAGGUGCAAAGAAGAAUGCCAAAAGUAUCUGACUGAGAUAUUAAAUAGAUGUCUCAAUAAGAUGACUUCUUGAAAAAAAAAAUUGUCUUUCGAUGGCAGACUCACUUCAGUUAAUAGUGUGUUGGAUAAAAUUUCAACCUACUUAUUGUUUUUGUUAAAGUUGCAUGGUUAUAUGAGGAAAAUUUGAAUACCAUAAAAAGUGACCUCAUGUGGAAAGGCGUAAUACAAGAGAACUAAAGUUAUUAAAUGACAAAAAAAA